rnacentral:rRNA from 1 species
GACGAACGCUGGCGGCGUGCUUAACACAUGCAAGUCGAACGGUAAAGCCCUGCUUUUUUGGGGUGUUCGAGUGGAGCACGGGUGUGACACACGUGUGUACUGCCCCCAUCUCUUUGGGAUGCCUUCAAAACAGUGUCUAUUAUCGGAGAUAGGAGUUCACGCCGCAUGGUGGGUUUGGGAGAGUUUUGGCGGUUGGGUAUGGACUCGCGGCAUAUCAGCUUGUUGGUGGGGUAGUCGCAUACCAAGGCUAGGACGGGUAGCCGGCCUGAGAGGGUGACCGGCCACACUGGGACUGAGACACGGCCCAGACUCAUACGGGAGGCAGCAGUGGGGAAUAUUGCACAAUGGGCGGAAGCCUGAUGCAGCGACGCCGCGUGGGGGAUGACGGCCUUCGGGUUGUAAACCUCUUUCAGUUGGGACGAAGCGAAAGUGACGGUAACGGGAGAAGAAGCACCGGCUAACUACGUG